AUUAAUAAAACACAUAUGCGACGUGCCACUCAGAGCAUUCCGUGGAGAGAAAACGAGUUUCCCCACCAGGUGAAUAAAAUUUCACCCAGAGGCAGGCAACAAACCACCUUCUGGUCUGGGAAUCGUGGGCGCUGCACUUGACAGCCCAGUCGCUGGGCCUCUGCCGCUAAGCCAGCCGCCUGCCCUGAGUCUCCGAAGUUGGAGGAGACCAUUUCAGCUGCUCCCGGCUUGCCUUGCUGUCCCCGCUGGAAUCAGCAGACCCUGACUUUUGGAGAAGCGUUACUGCGAUGUGUCAGCUGCUCCGGGAGAGCCCAGAGUGAUGUAUUCCAAGACCUGUCAGGAGAAAGGGUUUAUGGAGUGACCAUCCUGUGGCUACAACUCUCAAGACUGUUGUUUUAGCAAAACCCUAAUGGAACUGGACUAGUUCAUCACGAGGUCCUGCUGACUCCCUUCCCAGACUGUCUCAGCAAGCCCACUGC
ensembl:lncRNA